AUGGCCGCGCCUCCUCGCCGCCCGGACCCGUCGUCCUCAACGCCGCCUCUCCUGCUCGUUGACCGCGCCGCCGGAGCCCUGCAUCGCGCCAAGCAUCGCCGGCGCCCCCAAGUCCGCGUCGCCAAGUUCCUCGAGCAGCUGGAGCUCGCCGCGUCCCCGCGCCCUGCUCCUUCAUGCCCAAGCCUCCCCUCGAGCUCCUCUGCCUCCGCGCCCGCAAGUCCCCGCCGUUCCCCGUCGACCUCGUCGGAGCACAGGACCUCCUCGGCCACCGCUUCACCAGGGACGUCGAGCGCCACCAGCAGCAGUUCUGGCAGUCCCCGUCAUCGAGUUCCUCACCGACCCGUUGUUUCCCGCGCCUACCGGCCUCGCUGCAAGCCCCUGGCACCGCCUCCAUGCUUCUCCAAGACGCCUUGUUUUCCUUUUCUGUUCGGCCACAAUUGCAUCGACCCUCAUACAGAGCACCGGGGUACUGGUUGUUUUGUUUGCGGGUGCUUCGUUUGUUGCUUCAGGGAAACAUCACCAAGUACCUCUACAGUCGCUGUAUCACCAAGACCGUCUCGGGUUAUGACAAGUACCACUACACCUGGAGAUGUAAUGAGUACCCCUACGGAAGACCCAAACGUCUAUGAAUCGUGUACGACGACCGUUGUUCGUCAAGUACCCCUUUGGUUCGCCAAGUUUCGACUACCAUCGUCGUGA
rnacentral:rRNA from 1 species